rnacentral:rRNA from 1 species
UGCAGUCGAACGAUGAACCACUUCGGUGGGGAUUAGUGGCGAACGGGUGAGUAACACGUGGGCAAUCUGCCCUUCACUCUGGGACAAGCCCUGGAAACGGGGUCUAAUACCGGAUAUGAGCCUGGGAGGCAUCUCCUGGGUUGUAAAGCUCCGGCGGUGAAGGAUGAGCCCGCGGCCUAUCAGCUUGUUGGUGAGGUAAUGGCUCACCAAGGCGACGACGGGUAGCCGGCCUGAGAGGGCGACCGGCCACACUGGGACUGAGACACGGCCCAGACUCCUACGGGAGGCAGCAGUGGGGAAUAUUGCACAAUGGGCGAAAGCCUGAUGCAGCGACGCCGCGUGAGGGAUGACGGCCUUCGGGUUGUAAACCUCUUUCAGCAGGGAAGAAGCGAAAGUGACGGUACCUGCAGAAGAAGCGCCGGCUAACUACGUGCCAGCAGCCGCGGUAAUACGUAGGGCGCAAGCGUUGUCCGGAAUUAUUGGGCGUAAAGAGCUCGUAGGCGGCUUGUCACGUCGAUUGUGAAAGCCCGAGGCUUAACCUCGGGUCUGCAGUCGAUACGGGCUAGCUAGAGUGUGGUAGGGGAGAUCGGAAUUCCUGGUGUAGCGGUGAAAUGCGCAGAUAUCAGGAGGAACACCGGUGGCGAAGGCGGAUCUCUGGGCCAUUACUGACGCUGAGGAGCGAAAGCGUGGGGAGCGAACAGGAUUAGAUACCCUGGUAGUCCACGCCGUAAACGGUGGGAACUAGGUGUUGGCGACAUUCCACGUCGUCGGUGCCGCAGCUAACGCAUUAAGUUCCCCGCCUGGGGAGUACGGCCGCAAGGCUAAAACUCAAAGGAUUUGACGGGGCCCGCACAAGCGGCGGAGCAUGUGGCUUAAUUCGACGCAACGCGAAGAACCUUACCAA